rnacentral:lncRNA from 1 species
GGAGGGGUGAAUAGAAAGUAGGCAGGCUUCUGGGUGGAUGGGGCCCAGCACCCACAGCCUAGGCUGGCUGCCUGAGAGUAGCGAGUGACAGGUAAGGGCUCUGAACCUUCCUGCGUGCUACCCAAGGAGUGCCUAGGGCUACCAGGAGGCCCAGGGAGGAACCUUGAGACCUGAGAAAGGCUUUUCUUCCCCGAGAGGACCACUGCUCAGGCUCAGAGGCCAUGGGGUGAAGUGCACAAAAAAGUGGGCGUCCAGCCAUGCUCUAAGUCCCCCGAAGAUGAAGACCAGGGAGCAGCUUCCUCCAAUGAAGCAGCAGCAAUCAGAGGACCAGGAGGCUGAAGCCCUGAGCCCAGCCAGAGGCAGGAUCAGCCAAGUCUGGGACAGGCUUCAAUUAUUUUAGGCAGAGCUUCUGGUUCCUGGGCCUUCAGACUUGGACUAGAACUUCACUACCAGCUUUCCUGGGUCUCCAGCUUGCAGAGAGCAGAUCGCAGAACUUCUUAGCCUCCAUAAUCACAAGAACGUGUUUGCUUCCCCUUCCACCAUGAUUGUAAGUUUCCUGAGGCCUCCCCAGUCCUGCAGAACUGCUUUGAAGAAGACCACUGCGUCGGUAUUUGUGAAAUGUUUUGAGCCUCUGGAUUUAAAUAAGGUGAAAUAUAAAGGAUCCUUUUCACUACUGGGCACGCCUAACUGCAUGUCUUCUAAACACUGCUUGUGAUGGUCAUUCAUACCAAAGGACGGAAACAGAAAGCACAGAUCACAAAAUCCUCUGGCCAAAUGGGGAAUCUGACCCUGAAACGAAGGAGCAGUGUCAAUGUCCUGAGCCCCACUGCCAGCCUCAGCUCUAUGAGAAAGGUGGCAGAGAGGUGGCAAGGAGGCACACACAAAAGACUGGUGUUUGUCCUCUCCAUGCUUCUGCCAAAUCUUAUAACCUCCCGUCCCCGACUGGCAAGCCAAAUAGUAGCACCAUCCCUACAGGUUACAUUAUACCCUGAAAUUAACAUUACAAAUCAAACCACUUAGUUUUAAAGUGCUUUUCACAAGCCUACUAACUUAAUCCAUGACUAGUGCUAUGGGGGUUGUUAAUAGGUUCUCACAUCUCCCCAAAACAGCCCUAUUUAAGACCCCUCCUCCAUUACCCACACACCAGCCUGCCUUCCUCACUCAGGGUGAGGACCCACAGUGAACGACAGUAGUAUUCUCCUCUCUCUUCUGUUGACCUAGAUUGACCUGAGUGGGGGUUUUAAGACUGAUCUCUCUUCCCUCUUCUCAUACCAAGUCUAAAUUCCACUGCUGGGCUUUCCCUGCCUGCUGUGAUUUGACUCUACCUUUCUAUACAGCCAACUUCUUACCACCCACACGCUCACCUCUGCCUCAGUCCUCAGGCCUGGAAAGGCCCUUUGAAUCUUCCUUUAUGCCUCUCCUGCAGAUCCAGGCACAAGUCCAACCCUCCACCAGCCUGAAUCCGUCUUUUCCUCCUCUGAAUUCCUAUGGCAUUUAUAGUUAGCACCCUACAAUUUACUGAACCACUUAAUUAUAUGCUCUCUGGCAUUGCUCAGUGAUUAUGUCUUGCUUUUAGUCUGGCCUCCUGAGUAGAUAUUGAAUCUCAGUGGGGCAGAAACUAUACUUUAUACAUGUUUAUUGUAUCCUCAAGAGCACCUACUAUUACUAAUGGCAGUCAGCACUUAGUGUAUACGACACACAGUACUUUAUGUAUGCUAUCUAUUUAAUACCACAAUAUCUCUAACAAGGCAUUAUCAUGCCUAUUUUUCAGAUGGAAAACCAAAGCUCAGGGAGUUUUACAUGGGCAGGCAGCUGGUGAGGGCUGAGACUGGAGCCAGGCCAGUGGUCUUCAAAGGCUUUAGUCAAACUUUUUGACAGAUAUAAGAAAACCGAACUAAGGAAAAUACUUUCCUGGGAUCAUCCCUAUAUGAAGUGGCAGACCUGGAAUUGCUCCCUGUUUCAAAACAUGUAAGCUCCUCAAGAACAGGAACUUUUGUCUGUUUGUUCAUUGUUGUAUCUCCAAUCCUUAGAACUAUGCCUGGCUCAAAGUAGGUGCUCAAUAAAAUAUCUGCUGAAUGAACAAAUGCAAUCUAAUCACCAAACUUACUCUGAACGCUCACCAAGUGUGAGGCACUGCUCUUAUGAGAAAAGUAAUGUAAGAGACAUUCUAGUUUGUUUGACUAAACCUCACUCACCACAGAAUACUCACAAAGGGCUGUCCAGAAACAGAAAUGUGAUAAAAGCCUGCAUCCCGAACUUGGUGCCAAAUUUGUACUUUUAGACUUGAGAGGGUAUGGAGCUUCCUAUUCCCUGCCUGUUCCUCUCCUUCAGUCCUCCCUCCAUGGAAAUAAUCAGCCACCACAGCCCAGGAAGAAAGGGAAGCAGUCCCAUACCCCAGGAGCAGGCUGGCCUGCGAUAUCACAUCAGACUCCUGGGAUUCCAGAGAGAAAGGAGUCCCUGAGGCCCUGCAAGUCCACCUACGGGGGCUGUAGAGCUGGAGACCUGGGGCCUGGAUAUUAAAAUAACACAUGCAUAUCCACAGGCAGGGGGCGUGGGCCCUGCUCCUUCUGUAGGUUCUUUUAAACAUUUAUCUUCAGAAGUCUUUAUUUGUGCUAAGUCACUUAGAUCAAAACAAAAACACUUAUUUUUGUGUUUGCUUAAACAACGUAGAUCGUUUCUUCAGUUAUCUCCUGGCUAUAUAUGUGGACACAUCUUAGAUCUAGAGACUAAGAAAAGUAUUUUCUUGCUGUCCUGUACUUUCUACACAUUUGUAACCUGUGUUCAUAACAAAGGUAAUCAAUUUCCCGACAAGUAGUUAUUCAAGCUAGGUGAGACAAAUAAAGGAGAUAAAGAAGUUGCACGAUUUAAACAAACAAAAGGAACAGUCAGCCACCAAACAAAGCCCACAGUUCCAAUGUAAUGAUUUGAAAUAGUUUUGAUCUUUUUUGGUAGGGGAUGGGGCCAGGUCAUAACCAUGUAAAAGUAAUGAAAACAAACCAAGACUGCGGGGCCCUAAUUACUGUCAAGUUGUCAUUUUCUCCAAUUGCCUUGAAGGUUUGUUUCUUUUUAAAAUUCAGUGUAACCUUACAGGAGGCAAUAAGGGCUGGCGAAACGCGGUGGCAGUGGAAACUAGCUGGGCGGAUGCAGCAACUUUGGGAAUAGUGGGAUGCAGGGGUGGAAGACAGGCUGAGGGCAAAGGGGCUGCCAGGGCUUCUGAGGAGGCUCCCAGGAGACUGAUAAGAUCCCGAGGGGAUCGGAGAAGUGCGAGGGUCCAGUUACAUGUGCAGGAAAGGUGAUGAACCCCAGGUUUUUAUACUUGUUCAUGAGGCGCCAGCCUCAUGCUUAGUUUGUUUCUGAAGCAUAUCACCCUCACUCUAACUCCUAUCUAGAAUAUUCUUCUCCCAGAUCUUCCCGUAGCUGGCUCAGCUUUCACGUCACCUCUUCAGAAAGGCCUCCCUGACCACCAACCUGAAGUCACAACCUAGUUAGUCUCUCGCCCCUUUUCCAUGCUUUUUUUUUUUUUUUUGCCUUCAUGGCUGUUGGCACUACCUGAACGUUUCUUGUUUGUCAGUAUAUGUCCUCUGCGCCCCCAUACCAUGGUGUAAGCCCCAGGAGAGCAGAAACUUCCUUUGUCUACCCGACAGGGCUGAAGCCUCAGAGUCUGGAUCAGUGUCAGGUACGGAGAAGGUGCUCUGGUGGAAACCUCAGUGGCAACGUUCAGCUCACAGUGGGAAACUCGGGCCUUCAGACCAGGGAAGGGGGCCGUUUGAAGAUAUGAGUCUGGAGUGUGACUGAUGAAGCCAAAAGCAGGCACAAACUCUCUUUUUAUGACCAACUUUGGAUAAUGAGCUCAAGCCAUGUAUAAAAACAUUCCCCAAAAGUGCUUUUCUAGAUGAAAGGGAGAAAAAUAGCUAAAGUGAUCCAUCUUCCUUUCUUUGAGGAAGGUUGGCACCGCUUCUGUUGCUUCCAGGAAGAUUGCAUACACAUGUAAAACCGGAAAAACGUUAAUGAAGAGAAAAACUAAAAGCUCCCGCCCCCACCCAGGCCUGCUCAGAAGAACCCAAGCCACUCAGAAGCAGGAGGCAGCCUUCACCCCAACCAGACCAAUAUCCGUUCCAGACUCAGGAUUACAACAAUCUGGGAGAGGGUCAACCAAGUCAGAGUCCCACAUGGCAGAAGAGCUGCUUUAGCUUAAGACUCUUAACUCUUUUUCUUCGGGGCAGGAAAGGUUUGAGCCAAUGAAGGAUGAGGCUUUCCAGGCCCAGGACACAACCUUGAUCCAAGGCCUAGUUGUGGCUUUAAUUUUUGUAAAUCAAGCCUCAAGUUUUUCUUCACUCUUUUAGCCAAAGAUAUGUUUCCCAGGAUGCAUGAAAUAAAUAAAUAAAAUGUACCAAAUUAGAGAUUGUGAGACAUGUAUGUCACUUAAAUCCUUUGUAGGCAA